rnacentral:lncRNA from 1 species
UGCUUAAGCCAGGAUGAAGGAGGAAAGGGAUGCAUACCCUCUGCCAGCUAUGGUACUGACAGCUGAAACCCAUUACUCCUGCCAGUAGAACAAACACGUACAAGUUAACAACCUAACCCUGCUCUAUCCCUUCGUACAUAGCUGAGCUCCCCAUUUCUGGGGUACAGAAGCAGCUGAGGACUGUGCACCCCAUCAAAUGCUGGUUAUGCUCCUUACGUUGCCAGAAAUGCAGUUGACCACCACCACACGAAAAUAUCUGGUCCUGUGAUAAAAGAGGGUCUGCAAUGUCUCUUGGUGAAGAAUUACAGACAGAAGCAGUCAAGCAUUUCAGAUUUUAAGACUUCCCUCAACCAAGUAUCCCCAAGGAUAGCUGCACAGCAAGGAGCAAGCUGCAGGCUAACUGCUCUGUGGGAGUAGGACAUCUCAUGGCACAACUGGCCUCCAUGGACUAACAGGCAAAAAAAAAAUCUAUAGAGUUAUUUUCAUUCACAAAAUACUGUUAUAGGAAAAAAAGCAUCCAAAAUUAUAAAGUAGAGAAACAAGAGCCUGCAGGCACACACUGCCUCCCCAGCACAGCAAUGUGGUGCUUUGCUUCCCCCACAGCCCCACUGAAUACUUUUAUUUCUCUUUACGCCAGGCUGAUUUAAAACACAGGAGGCUCUCCAACACCAGGCUAUGGGAAUUGUUGCCCACCUGAGUUCUCCAUGACAGGCAGGGAAGCAGCUCUGCCUACCACACCACCCUUCCAAAUCCGCCCUGUUAUUUACUAGCAGCUCCGGAUCAGGGCUUUUACGCACGAAGAGGACCCAACUCAGCUGAGAGCCGUGCCCGCACACGCGGUAACACCGCUAACAAAAAGCCUCCCCCCCGGCUGCAGCGCUCGCCCACCUCCCCCUCCCCAGCUCCACCCCGAGGCCCCGGGCGGUGCCUCGGGGCCCUGCGGCACCCUCCGGGCACGAAGCGAGGGCGCGAGGCGCGGAGCGCCGCCCGGGGCCGGCCGCCCCGUCACGCCGCGCACAAAAUGGCUGCGCGGGGCCGGGCCGGGGCGGGCAGGACAGGGCAGCACCCGGCCGCCCGCUCCCCCCUCCCGGGGCCGCCUCUCCCCGCCGCGGGGCCGCGCUGCCCGGAUGCGGGCGGCACAAGCGGUUCCUGCCCUGCUGCAAUUCUUGUGCGAACAGAAACUGCGUGAUUCAGGCAUACUUUAAUAGAUGCAGCAGAAUUGGAUUUUGCAAAUUUGGAUUUUGCAUUUAUUAAUGCAACACCCUUCAUCUAUAUAGAUGCAAAUCUCCUAGUUCUUUAGGAUGCUUGUUUCUUAGGAUCCUUUCUUUGCCAGCAGUAUGUCUAUUCAUAACGAUGUGCUGAAGAAUUAAUUUCAACAAAUUCAAAACAAAGCUUGAGUAUCAGAUGCAGUAACCAGCAAGAAAAGUAGGAUGAUGGAAUUACUUUCUUUUGCAAAAAAUAAACAUGACCACAGCACCA